rnacentral:rRNA from 1 species
AGAGUUUGAUCCUGGCUCAGAGUGAUCGCUGGCGGCGUGCUUAACACAUGCAAGUCGAGCGAAUUUUGGCAGCGUAUCGCCAGAGUUAGCGGCAGACGGGUGAGUAAUACUUGGGUAAUCUACCCUCGAGUGGGAAACAACCGGCCGAAAGGCUGGCUAAUGUCCCAUAAGACCACAGGACGGCAUCGUCCAGGGGUCAAAGCUCCGCAAGGGGCGCUUGAAGAGGAGCCCGAGUCCUAUCAUGGUAGUUGGUGAGGUAACGGCUCACCAAGCCUUUGACGGGUAGCCGGCCUGAAAGGGUGAUCGGCCACACUGGCACUGAGACACGGGCCAGACUCCUACGGGAGGCAGCAGUGGGGAAUUUUGGACAAUGGGGGCAACCCUGAUCCAGCGACGCCGCGUGAAGGAUGAAGGUCUUCGGAUUGUAAACUUCUUUUGGAGGGGAUGAAUGUCUGCGUGAAUAACGCAGAGUGACAGUACUCUCUGAAUAAGCCACGGCUAACUACGUGCCAGCAGCCGCGGUAAUACGUAGGUGGCAAGCGAUACUCGGAAUCACUAGGCGUAAAGCGCAGGUAGGCGGUUCGGUAAGUCUUUUGUGAAAGCUCCUGGCUCAACUGGGAGAGGUCAAAGGAAACUACCGGGCUAGAGUGUGGUAGGGGAUACUGGAAUUCCUGGUGUAGCGGUGAAAUGCGUAGAUAUCAGGAGGAAUACCUAUGGCGAAAGCAGGUAUCUGGGCCAUCACUGACGCUGAGCUGCGAAAGCUAGGGGAGCAAACAGGAUUAGAUACCCUAGUAGUCC